AUAGAUUUUAUUUCAGUGAGUGGCGAACUGGUGAGUACACGUGGGAAACCUGCCCAGAAGCGGGGGAUAACACCUUGGAAACAGAUGCUAAUACCGCAUAACAACUUGGACCGCAUGGUCCGAGCUUGAAAGAUGGCUUCUGGCUAUCACUUUUGGAUGGUCCCGCGGCGUAUUAGCUAGAUGGUGGGGUAACUGGCUCACCAUGGCAAUGAUACUGUAGCCGACCAUGAGAGGGUAAUCGGCCACAUUGGGACUGAGACACGGCCCAAACUCCUACGGGAGGCAGCAGUAGGGAAUCUUCCACAAUGGACGAAAGUCUGAUGGAGCAACGCCGCGUGAGUGAAGAAGGGUUUCGGCUCGUAAAACUCUGUUGUUAAAGAAGAACAUAUCUGAGAGUAACUGUUCAGGUAUUGACGGUAUUUAACCAGAAAGCCACGGCUAACUACGUGCCAGCAGCCGCGGUAAUACGUAGGUGGCAAGCGUUGUCCGGAUUUAUUGGGCGGUAAAGCGAGCGCAGGCGGUUUUUUAA
rnacentral:rRNA from 2 species